UUUCUUCGGGGCGGGGUGAGAUUCCCCACCGGCGGUAAAGCCCGCGAGCCGCGAAAGCGGUCGAUUCGGUGAAAUUCCGAAGCCGACGGUUACAGUCCGGAUGGAAGAAGA
rnacentral:ncRNA from 1 species